rnacentral:tRNA from 1 species
AGGGACUUAGGUUAACACAACAAAACCCAGGGCCUUCAAAGCCCAAAAUGGGGGUGGAAAUCCCCCAGACCCUG